CGAUAGUGUAUAGUACAGGUUGGUCGCGCACGGCCAGACGAAGCCUAUGGCAAAGCUGCACCGUCACUUUUUCUGUAGAGCUGAGUGAUAGUUAUCGUCUAGCUGCCAGUUAUCGCAGCCGACAGCUAUCGUCUAGCUAACUUUGAUCGUUUUGAUGAACUCACUAUUAUGGUGUGCUGGGAACAACAUCAGACCAAAAUUGGCAUAUGUAAAAGUCUCUGCUUAUGAAAAAUGGCUUCGAUUAAUAAUGUCGACCCAUCUGAGGCACCAAGUAAUGCGAAUGAAAAAGAAAAUAGGAAUACAAGAUUGGUUAAAAAAGGAAUUAUUAAUUAUAAAAUCCCUAAGUAUGCAAAAGACAUUCAUUCGAGCAGUUUUUCAACCAACAAAUCUAGAUGGAGUCGACUACUAUUUCUUGCACAUCAACUACAAAGGGAUGCAGGUGUCCAACUUCUCAUUUUUGGAUACUUCCCCAAUCCAACAGUAGGAAGUUGUGGCAGUUGGUCAUUUGGUAAGACCAUGAAAUUGUUGAAAAAGAAGUCUGAUACCACAAAGUAUUACAAAUAUUGGGAAAAAGUGUUUUCCCUGAUUGAAGAUACACAUGUUUUUUAAAUGUCUAAUGUAUUUUAAAUUGCUCUACUAUGCUAUGAAAUUUUUUUUUAGCACAACGGCAGAAAAAAGAGACAGUUGAGGUUGGAAAAUGCCAUGAAGCAGCAACUUUCAAUGUUAGCGCCUCUGUAAAUAUGGAUGGUUGUGAAAGUGCUUCAGAUGUGGAAAAUGAAUCUGAAGUUGAGGUUGGAAAAUGCCACGAAGCAGCAACUUUCAAUGUUAGUGCCUCUGUAAAUAUGGAUGGUUGUGAAAGUGCUUCAGAUGUGGAAAAUGAAUCUGAAGUUGAGCCUCUUGAAAAAUUCAUUAGUCCUUCUGUUAAGGAUAAUUCAAUGGGAACAUUAGAAUCGGUGGAAUUUGAGUCAAUGGAAGCAAUGGAUCAAUUUAAAAGAUGGCUAGAUUCAGCUGAUGCAAGAGUAACAGAAUCAAGUGUAACAGAACUAAGUAAUUUUUGUGUGUUUCAAUAUUGUGUUUAUUGAGCGAUAGACUAAUUUUGAUGUUUAGUUUUGACUAUAGAUCCGGCCACUUCGACAGUAUCUUUACCACCAUUACUCCAACAUGCAACUGUCAACGCAAAAACCCCACCGCCGCCAGCCUUGAAGGUUCUAGACACACGUUGCUCAUCAGUUUCCGUCACAUUGGACGAUAAAGCUACAGGAGCACUUACACCUACGCCACUAGCCACUAAAUAUCCGGCAACAGCGCCGCUGUCUACAGAUUCAUCGUCUACGCCAUUAGUUUCCUUGGCCGCUAUAUGUGUCAGUAGUGCCGCUAAAAUUUCGACAACGCAGCCAGCCACAAAAGAUCGGGCAACAUCGCAACUACCUGUAGUUUUUGGUCGUGCGCCGUCAGCCGCUAAAGCUAAGGAAACACCAACGCUGCCAGCCACAAAAGAUCCGGCAACAAAAUCGCUGCCUACGAAUUUGGAUCCAAUGCCAUGUGUUCCAUUGGACGUUCCGUGUGUCACAUUGGCCGCUAAAUCUUCGAAAACGCUGCAAGCCACAAAAGAUCCUGCCACAACUUCGCUGCCUACGGAUACUGGUCCGGUGCCGUGUGUUCCAUUGGACGUUUCCUGUGUCACAUUGGCCACUAAAGCUUCGAAAAUGCCGCAAGCCACAAGAGAUCCUGCCACAACUUCGUUGCCUACGGAUUCGAAUCCAGCGCCAUCAGUUCUAUUGGACGUUCCGUGUGUCACAUUGGCUACUAAAGCUACAAAAACGCCGCAAGCCACAAAAGAUCCUGCCACAACUUCACUGCCUACGGAUUCUGGUCCGGUGCCGUGUGUUCCAUUGGACGUUUCCUGUGUCACAUUGGCCACUAAAGCUUCGAACACGCCGCAAGCUACAACGUCGCUGCUACGGAUUCGAAUUCGGCGCCAUCAGUUCUAUUGGACGCUUCCUGUGUCACAUUGGCCACUAAAGCUUCGAAAACGCCGCAAGCCACAAAAGAUCCUGCCACAACUUCGCUGCCUACGGAUUCGAAUCCGGCGCCAUCAGUUCUAUUGGACGUUUCCUGUGUCACAUUGGCCACUAAAGCUUCGAAAAUGCCGCAAGCCACAAGAGAUCCUGCCACAACUUCGUUGCCUACGGAUUCGAAUCCAGCGCCAUCAGUUCUAUUGGACGUUCCGUGUGUCACAUUGGCCACUAAAGCUACGAAAACGCCGCAAGCCACAAAAGAUCCUGCCACAACUUCGCUGCCUACGGAUUCUGGUCCGGUGCCGUGUGUUCCAUUGGACGUUUCCUGUGUCACAUUGGCCGCUAAAGCUUCGAAAACGCCGCAAGCCACAAAGGAUCUGGCCGCAAUUUCGCUGCCUAUGGAUUCGAAUCCAGCGCCGUCAGUUUCCGCCGCAUCGGCCAUUAUCAGGAAUCAGCCGCCGCGGAGUAAUGCUAAAAAACGAACAGCCACUGAAGUUUUAGCAUCAAAAACGCUCCCUGCUGAAUCGUGUCCUACACCAUCGGUUUUGGCCACACUGAUUGCUAAACGGAAACAGCCACCCCGGAAAAAAGCUAAAAAAACGGAAGUGGAGGCUAAAAAGACAAAUAAAACAAGCUGUAAUGCCGAUGUUUGUUUAGAGCCAAAAUCGCCUGAUUGGGUUCGUUGUGACAAGAAAUCUUGCGCUAGAUGGUUUCACCAAAAAGGAGUGUUUGGGCUUCAAACGCGGUGACGUGACAAGAAAAACCAAGUUUAUUUGCCCACAAUGCAAAUAAAGCGUUUCAGUUUUAACGUUUUCUAAGAUAAUGUUUUGUGAAAUGGUUGAAACAAUUUUUAUAUGCAUGUUUUUUAAUCUGCUUGUUUUGUUAAAUGCUUAGCCUUGAAGAAAGCAGACGUUAAGGACAAGGGCCCUACUUUUGUUCGAAUGGCUGUACGAAAACAUUGAGCCCAUUAUGUCGAGCGUAUUAAAGAAGCCAUUUUAAAUUGAUUUUAAUGAUUUGGUAACCAAGAAAGAAUUCGGAUAUAACA
rnacentral:misc_RNA from 1 species